GAUGAAGAACGUAGCGAAAUGCGAUAAGUAGUGUGAAUUGCAGACUUUAGUGAAUCAUCGAAUCUUUGAACGCACAUUGCGCCUUCUAGUAUUCUGGGAGGCAUGCCUGUUUGAGCGUCAUUAAACCUCUCUCAAGUAUGAUUACUUGGAUGUGAAGGAAGAGUACCUUAAACUUAAGGAGUGUUCUCCUUUGAAAUUGAUUAGCAGAUGGUAAUGUUAUUAAAUCCCUGAUGUUGUAAGAAAUAACAGUGGUUUUGUAGACUAUUAUCUAGCUUUAAAUUAUAAUUUUUAUUAUGGUUGACCUCAAAUCAGGUAAGGAUACCCGCUGAACUUAAGCAUAUCAUAAGCGGAGGA
rnacentral:misc_RNA from 1 species